rnacentral:rRNA from 1 species
GAUGAACGCUGGCGGCGUGCCUAAUACAUGCAAGUCGAGCGAACGGACGAGAAGCUUGCUUCUCUGAUGUUAGCGGCGGACGGGUGAGUAACACGUGGAUAACCUACCUAUAAGACUGGGAUAACUUCGGGAAACCGGAGCUAAUACCGGAUGAUAUUUUGAACCGCAUGGUUCAAAAGUGAAAGACGGUCUUGCUGUCACUUAUAGAUGGAUCCGCGCUGCAUUAGCUAGUUGGUAAGGUAACGGCUUACCAAGGCAACGAUGCAUAGCCGACCUGAGAGGGUGAUCGGCCACACUGGAACUGAGACACGGUCCGGACUCCUACGGGAGGCAGCAGUAGGGAAUCUUCCGCAAUGGGCGAAAGCCUGACGGAGCAACGCCGCGUGAGUGAUGAAGGUCUUCGGAUCGUAAAACUCUGUUAUUAGGGAAGAACAUACGUGUAAGUAACUGUGCACAUCUUGACGGUACCUAAUCAGAAAGCCACGGCUAACUACGUG